GCUUCAUUAGCUCAGCUGGUUAGAGUACCUGACUCUUAAUCAGGGUGUCCAGGGUUCGAUUCCCUGAUGGAGCACCA
rnacentral:tRNA from 3 species